UACGUAGGGGGCAAGCGUUGUCCGGAUUCAUUGGGCGUAAAGAGCGUGUAGGCGGCCAGGUAGGUCGGUUGUGAAAACUGGAGGCUCAACCUUCAGAGGUCGACCGAAACCAUCUGGCUAGAGUCCGGGAGAGGAGAGUGGAAUUCCUGGUGUAGCGGUGAAAUGCGCAGAUAUCAGGAAGAACACCCGUGGCGAAAGCGGCUCUCUGGAACGGUACUGACGCUGAGACGCGAAAGCGUGGGAGCGAACAGGAUUAGAACCUACGAGUCA
rnacentral:rRNA from 1 species